CCUACUAAAUUAGAAUCUGCAUUUUAACAAGAACCUCAGAUGAUUCAUAUGUACAUUAAAGUUUAGAAGCACUGCUAUACAAGAAAUAAAAUAGUUUUCUGAGUAAGA